UACGGGGGGGGCAAGCGUUGUUCGGAAUUACUGGGCGUAAAGGGCUCGUAGGCGGCCAACUAAGUCAGACGUGAAAUCCCUCGGCUUAACCGGGGAACUGCGUCUGAUACUGGAUGGCUUGAGGUUGGGAGAGGGAUGCGGAAUUCCAGGUGUAGCGGUGAAAUGCGUAGAUAUCAGGAGGAACACCGGUGGCGAAGGCGGGUCUCUGGACCGAUACUGACACUGAGGCACGAAAGCCAGGGGAGCAAACGGG
rnacentral:rRNA from 1 species